rnacentral:rRNA from 1 species
GGGUUGUGAGGUUAAGCGACUAAGCGUACACGGUGGAUGCCCUGGCAGUCAGAGGCGAUGAAGGGCGUGCUAAUCUGCGAUAAGCGCCGGUAAGGUGAUAUGAACCGUUAUAACCGGCGAUACCCGAAUGGGGAAACCCAGUGUGAUUCGUCACACUAUCAUUAACUGAAUCCAUAGGUUAAUGAGGCGAACCGGGGGAACUGAAACAUCUAAGUACCCCGAGGAAAAGAAAUCAACCGAGAUUCCCCCAGUAGCGGCGAGCGAACGGGGAGGAGCCCAGAGCCUGAAUCAGCAUGUGUGUUAGUGGAAGCGUCUGGAAAGGCGCGCGAUACAGGGUGACAGCCCCGUACACAAAAGCGCAUGUGCUGUGAGCUCGAUGAGUAGGGCGGGACACGUGGUAUCCUGUCUGAAUAUGGGGGGACCAUCCUCCAAGGCUAAAUACUCCUGACUGACCGAUAGUGAACCAGUACCGUGAGGGAAAGGCGAAAAGAACCCCGGCGAGGGGAGUGAAAAAGAACCUGAAACCGUGUACGUACAAGCAGUGGGAGCCCCACCACUAAGCCAGUGGUGAACUCCACAUCCGCAUCCUUUGCUGAGGAUACGGUUAACGGAGCGAAAGCGACGUUCAACCGCAAAACAAGCAGAGGGGGCUUAGUGGUGGGGUGACUGCGUACCUUUUGUAUAAUGGGUCAGCGACUUAUAUUCUGUAGCAAGGUUAACCGAAUAGGGGAGCCGGAGGGAAACCGAGUCUUAAUUGGGCGUUAAGUUGCAGGGUAUAGACCCGAAACCCGGUGAUCUAGCCAUGGGCAGGUUGAAGGUUGGGUAACACUAACUGGAGGACCGAACCGACUAAUGUUGAAAAAUUAGCGGAUGACCUGUGGCUGGGGGUGAAAGGCCAAUCAAACCGGGAGAUAGCUGGUUCUCCCCGAAAGCUAUUUAGGUAGCGCCUCGUGAAUUCAUCUCCGGGGGUAGAGCACUGUUUCGGCUAGGGGGCCAUCCCGGCUUACCAACCCGAUGCAAACUGCGAAUACCGGAGAAUGUUAUCACGGGAGACACACGGCGGGUGCUAACGUCCGUCGUGAAGAGGGAAACAACCCAGACCGCCAGCUAAGGUCCCAAAGUCAUGGUUAAGUGGGAAACGAUGUGGGAAGGCCCAGACAGCCAGGAUGUUGGCUUAGAAGCAGCCAUCAUUUAAAGAAAGCGUAAUAGCUCACUGGUCGAGUCGGCCUGCGCGGAAGAUGUAACGGGGCUAAACCAUGCACCGAAGCUGCGGCAGCGAACGUAUCACCCAAGACAACUUUACGGAGUUGACGAUUGACGGAGCGAAGCGACGUCAAAGCGUUCAUUAAAGUCGAGUUGGCUUAGGGAUACGUUCGUUGGGUAGGGGAGCGUUCUGUAAGCCUGUGAAGGUGUGUCGUGAGGCAUGCUGGAGGUAUCAGAAGUGCGAAUGCUGACAUAAGUAACGAUAAAGCGGGUGAAAAGCCCGCUCGCCGGAAGACCAAGGGUUCCUGUCCAACGUUAAUCGGGGCAGGGUGAGUCGACCCCUAAGGCGAGGCCGAAAGGCGUAGUCGAUGGGAAACGGGUUAAUAUUCCCGUACUUGGUGUUACUGCGAAGGGGGGACGGAGAAGGCUAUGUUGGCCGGGCGACGGUUGUCCCGGUUUAAGCGUGUAGGUGUGUGUUCCAGGUAAAUCCGGUUCACUUUAACACUGAGGCGUGACGACGAGGCACUACGGUGCUGAAGCAACAAAUGCCCUGCUUCCAGGAAAAGCCUCUAAGCAUCAGGUAACAUCAAAUCGUACCCCAAACCGACACAGGUGGUCAGGUAGAGAAUACCAAGGCGCUUGAGAGAACUCGGGUGAAGGAACUAGGCAAAAUGGUGCCGUAACUUCGGGAGAAGGCACGCUGACACGUAGGUGAAGUGAUUUACUCAUGGAGCUGAAGUCAGUCGAAGAUACCAGCUGGCUGCAACUGUUUAUUAAAAACACAGCACUGUGCAAACACGAAAGUGGACGUAUACGGUGUGACGCCUGCCCGGUGCCGGAAGGUUAAUUGAUGGGGUCAGCGCAAGCGAAGCUCCUGAUCGAAGCCCCGGUAAACGGCGGCCGUAACUAUAACGGUCCUAAGGUAGCGAAAUUCCUUGUCGGGUAAGUUCCGACCUGCACGAAUGGCGUAAUGAUGGCCAGGCUGUCUCCACCCGAGACUCAGUGAAAUUGAACUCGCUGUGAAGAUGCAGUGUACCCGCGGCAAGACGGAAAGACCCCGUGAACCUUUACUAUAGCUUGACACUGAACAUUGAGCCUUGAUGUGUAGGAUAGGUGGGAGGCUUUGAAGUGUGGACGCCAGUCUGCAUGGAGCCGACCUUGAAAUACCACCCUUUAAUGUUUGAUGUUCUAACGUGGACCCGUUACCCGGGUUGCGGACAGUGUCUGGUGGGUAGUUUGACUGGGGCGGUCUCCUCCUAAAGAGUAACGGAGGAGCACGAAGGUUGGCUAAUCCUGGUCGGACAUCAGGAGGUUAGUGCAAUGGCAUAAGCCAGCUUGACUGCGAGCGUGACGGCGCGAGCAGGUGCGAAAGCAGGUCAUAGUGAUCCGGUGGUUCUGAAUGGAAGGGCCAUCGCUCAACGGAUAAAAGGUACUCCGGGGAUAACAGGCUGAUACCGCCCAAGAGUUCAUAUCGACGGCGGUGUUUGGCACCUCGAUGUCGGCUCAUCACAUCCUGGGGCUGAAGUAGGUCCCAAGGGUAUGGCUGUUCGCCAUUUAAAGUGGUACGCGAGCUGGGUUUAGAACGUCGUGAGACAGUUCGGUCCCUAUCUGCCGUGGGCGCUGGAGAACUGAGGGGGGCUGCUCCUAGUACGAGAGGACCGGAGUGGACGCAUCACUGGUGUUCGGGUUGUCAUGCCAAUGGCACUGCCCGGUAGCUAAAUGCGGAAGAGAUAAGUGCUGAAAGCAUCUAAGCACGAAACUUGCCCCGAGAUGAGUUCUCCCUGAGACUUAGAGUCUCCUGAAGGAACGUUGAAGACGACGACGUUGAUAGGCCGGGUGUGUAAGCGCAGCGAUGCGUUGAGCUAACCGGUACUAAUGAACCGUGAGGCUUAACCUUACAACGCCGAAG